rnacentral:rRNA from 1 species
GAUGAACGCUGGCGGCGUGCCUAAUACAUGCAAGUCGAGCGAACAGACGAGGAGCUUGCUCCUCUGACGUUAGCGGCGGACGGGUGAGUAACACGUGGAAAACCUACCUAUAAGACUGGGAUAACUUCGGGAAACCGGAGCUAAUACCGGAUAAUAUAUUGAACCGCAUGGUUCAAUAGUGAAAGACAGUUUUGCUGUCACUUAUAGAUGGAUCCGCGCCGCAUUAGCUAGUUGGUAAGGUAACGGCUUACCAAGGCGACGAUGCGUAGCCGACCUGAGAGGGUGAUCGGCCACACUGGAACUGAGACACGGUCCAGACUCCUACGGGAGGCAGCAGUAGGGAAUCUUCCGCAAUGGGCGAAAGCCUGACGGAGCAACGCCGCGUGAGUGAUGAAGGUCUUCGGAUCGUAAAACUCUGUUAUUAGGGAAGAACAAAUGUGUAAGUAACUAUGCACGUCUUGACGGUACCUAAUCAGAAAGCCACGGCUAACUACGUG